UAAAUAGGUGUAUAAAAAAUAAAAAAAAUGAAAUAAGAUAGAUAAUAAAAGAUUAUUAAGAAGUUUUGGUUCUGGACUUAAUAUUAGCUUUCUCUUAGUUAGAUACAUGGUACUUUUGGGGUUAAUGAGGAGNGUCAUAUAAAGUGUUUAAGACGCAUAUGGUUGUUCACGUGGGUAUGAUUAAAUAAAUAUGAAACCUGGAGAUUUUCAUUACCACCAGUACUGAAGUUUAAGNNNNNNNNNNNNNNNNNNNNNNNNNNNNNAGAAUAGAGCUGGGUAAUUGUAGUGCCAGCACUCGCGGUUAAACUACUGGCUCAAGUUAAUAAAUUACGGCAUAAAAGAUGGUUAGUUGUAUGUAUAGAAUAAAGAAGUUUUAAUAAGGAGUUAUAUCUGGAGUAAAGGAUUAAUACACAUAUAUUCUAUUUGAUGAGGCCAUGAAAUCUUCAGUAGAGACUAGGAUUAGAUACCCUAUUAUUUGAAGAUGGAAAUUUAGAUUGUUGUCUGCCAGGGUACUACGAACGCAUGUUUAGAACUCAAAGAACUUGGCGGUGUUUUAGCCAGCUAGGGGAACCUGUCCUUUAAUUCGAUAAUCCACGAAAAUCUUACCUGUUCUGGUUUUCAGUUUGUAUACCGUCGUCGAAAGCUGGCACCAAAAGGGGUUAGAAGCUAGCAAGAAAGAUUUUUCUCUUGUAAGUCAGAUCAAGGUGCAGCCUAUGAAUAGGGAGGAGAUGGGUUACAAUUAAUAAUUUCUAUUGGAGUUCUAAUGAAAUUUAGUUAAUGGAAAGAGGACUUAGCAGUAAUUUCUUAGUUAAAGUUAAGAGAUGAAGUAGGCUCUAGAGCGUGUACAAAUCGCCCGUCGCUCUCGUUGAAAAAUGAGAUAAGUCGUAACAUAGUAGGGGUAGCGGAAGCUGUCCCUAAUUU
rnacentral:rRNA from 1 species